rnacentral:rRNA from 1 species
UACGGAGGGGGCGAGCGUUGUUCGGAAUCAUUGGGCGUAAAGGGCGCGUAGGCGGCCGUCCAAGUCGGGUGUGAAAUCCCAGGGCUCAACCCUGGAACUGCCUUCGAUACUGGACGUCUCGAGUCCGAGAGAGGUGAGUGGAAUUCCGAGUGUAGAGGUGAAAUUCGUAGAUAUUCGGAAGAACACCAGUGGCGAAGGCGGCUCACUGGCUCGGAACUGACGCUGAGGUGCGAAAGCGUGGGGAGCAAACAGG